AGCUCGAGCUCGAGGCCGUGGGAAAGCAGAUUCGCGACCUGGUGGUGAGGCAGGCCCAGCUGAGAGAGCGGAGAGCCGCGCUGGAAUCAUCCCGGGCUGACGCUCACAAGUCCGGGGCCCGGUGCACCCAGGACGCGAUCUUCCCAGAUGUCCUUCACUGCGACGCCGGGACACCACUGACCCUGGGUGCAUCCACAGCGGAGGACACGAGCCGGGUCCCGGGCGACGACUUCUCCCCCUCCUGCCUUCGACAUCUCCAUACGGAACCGCUUCGCUCCCCUCCGCGAGACAGGACGCGACGCUGUGAUCAUCGGAGACUCCAUCGUCCGACACGUAAGUGCUACGUUAGCCGAAGGUAAAGUGCACACUCAUUGUUUGCCUGGUGCUCGUGUUCUCGAUGUUUCUGCGCAGAUACCCGCGAUCCUGAAGGUCGACGAGAGCCCCAGAGCAGUCGUGCUUCACGCCGGGGUUAACGACACCACGCUGCGGCAGACGGAGACGCUGAAGAGGGACUUCAGCAGCCUGAUCGAGACGGUUCGCAGCACGACGCCCGCGGCGACGAUCGUCGUGUCUGGACCACUGCCCACGUAUCGACGAGGACACGAAAGGUUCAGUAGACUUUUUGCUUUAAAUGAAUGGUUGUUGUCAUGGUGUAAAGAACAGAAACUGCUAUUUGUUAAUAACUGGAAUCUUUUCUGGGAGCGUCCUAGGCUGUUUCGCGCUGAUGGAUUACACCCCAGCAGAAUCGGAGCGGAGCUGCUCUCUGACAACAUCUCCAGGACACUUCGCUCCAUGUGACUAUUUUCUUUUCUCUGUGCCUGAUUGUUGAUGUCCUUUACCCGGGCAUAGAUGUCCAUCCAUCAAUUACGAACAUUGAGCCGCAAACAUGAGGUGCGAGCGGUCGCGAGCGCGGAUGGGAGAAUGGAGCAUGUUUUUUUUGUUUGUUUUUUUGAGCAACUGGGAUGGUGCCCCCUCUGGGAGUUGGUGCCCUACGAAGACUGCGUACUCUGCAUAUAGGGAGUGGUGGUACUAUCUGGAAGAUAUAUUCCUCAAACCAUCGUACAAGAGGAGGUGAUGCUAGUCCUUCAAGAACCACUCAAAACCUAUCUGUUCAUAAAGCCUAUAUAUAAGGUCUUAAUAAAUAAUAUUCCACAAUACGUCAUGCUAUUCUAAUUAAGUCAUUUUAUGGGAUCUUUUACGUCUCUCAGAACCUGACACAUUGUAAUUCUGAGACUCCAGGAAAGUUGCAGUUCUGGAAAAUGGUGGCACUGUAGACUAAAUGCUCCCUGACAGUGUCACACCUAA